GUGCAUUCUGGGGUCAUUUCAGCUUUUGGUUGCUUGCUUGGCUUAAAGCUUGGUGGGUGGCUGAUUGUUGGGUGUCUUCGGGGAUGUCUACCGUAAAGGUGCAUGAGUGGUAUUGGGUUUGUUACGGGUGGUUGGCUCUUUGCUUGUGCAACAACUUCCAUCUGACUUACCUUUUCAGUUUAUUGUCAAAUGCUUCUAAAGCAUUGGAUUAUUCAUGGGUUUCUUGUGUUGCCUACCUAUUUGAUGGAAUUGUCUAAUGACCUAUAAUUGGAUUUCAUGUUACAUCUUAAAUGUGGUGUGAGAUGAACCUUUAAGCGUUCUUUGUGACCCACAUCUUUAAUGCUUAUGCAUUAUUUGGUGUGGUUCAUUUUGAGUUGCUUGGUCUCUUGGAUAUGGAACUUGAUGUGGGCAUGGGGCUUUAUGAGCCCUUUUGUUGUCCUGUUUAAGCGUUCUUGCUUCUCUAAUACGAUUGUCUAUCACGUAUGGCACGUCUCAGCGUGGUAGGCUAUGUCGGAGAUGAAUGCUACCUGGUUGAUCCUGCCAGUAGUCAUAUGCUUGUCUCAAAGAUUAAGCCAU
rnacentral:misc_RNA from 1 species